GACGAACGCUGGCGGCGUGCUUAACACAUGCAAGUCGAACGGAAAGGCCCUGCUUUUGUGGGGUGCUCGAGUGGCGAACGGGUGAGUAACACGUGAGUAACCUGCCCUUGACUUUGGGAUAACUUCAGGAAACUGGGGCUAAUACCGGAUAGGAGCUCCUGCUGCAUGGUGGGGGUUGGAAAGUUUCGGCGGUUGGGGAUGGACUCGCGGCUUAUCAGCUUGUUGGUGGGGUAGUGGCUUACCAAGGCUUUGACGGGUAGCCGGCCUGAGAGGGUGACCGGCCACAUGGGGACUGAGCUACGGCCCAGACUCCUACGGGAGGCAGCAGUGGGGAAUAUUGCACAAUGGGCGGAAGCCUGAUGCAGCAACGCCGCGUGCGGGAUGACGGCCUUCGGGUUGUAAACCGCUUUCGCCUGUGACGAAGCGUGAGUGACGGUAAUGGGUAAAGAAGCACCGGCUAACUACGUG
rnacentral:rRNA from 1 species